AAUCAACGCUGGCGGCGUGCCUAACGCAUGCAAGUCGAGCGAGAAAAGGGGAGCAAUCCCCUGAGUACAGCGGCGCACGGGUGAGUAACACGUGGGUAAUCUGCCCUAGAGUGGGGAAUAACACCGGGAAACCGGUGCUAAUACCGCAUACGAUCACAAGAUCUGCGGAUUUUGUGAUGAAAGGAGCAAUUCGCUCUGGGAGGAGCCCGCGGCUGAUUAGCUAGUUGGUGAGGUAACGGCUCACCAAGGCAACGAUCAGUAUCCGGUCUGAGAGGACGGUCGGACACACUGGAACUGAGACACGGUCCAGACUCCUACGGGAGGCAGCAGUGGGGAAUUUUUGGCAAUGGGGGCAACCCUGACCAAGCAACGCCGCGUGGGUGAUGAAGUCUCUUGGGACGUAAAACCCUUUCGACGGGGACGAAACCGCAAGGUUGACGGUACCCGUAGAAGAAGCCCCGGCUAACUCCGUGCCAGCCGCCGCGGUAAGAC
rnacentral:rRNA from 1 species